CAUCGGAACGUGCCAUUGAGUGGGGGAUAACGUAGCGAAAGUUGUGCUAAUACCGCAUAUUCUGUGAGCAGGAAAGCAGGGGACCGCAAGGCCUUGCGCUCUUUGAGCGGCCGAUGUCAGAUUAGCUAGUUGGUGAGGUAAAGGCUUACCAAGGCGACGAUCUGUAGCGGGUCUGAGAGGAUGAUCCGCCACACUGGAACUGAGACACGGUCCAGACUCCUACGGGAGGCAGCAGUGGGGAAUUUUGGACAAUGGGGGCAACCCUGAUCCAGCCAUGCCGCGUGAGUGAAGAAGGCCUUCGGGUUGUAAAGCUCUUUCGGCCGGGAAGAGAUCGCAUGGGCCAAUACCCUGUGUGGAUGACGGUACCGGAAUAAGAAGCACCGGCUAACUACGUGCCAGCAGCCGCGGUAAUACGUAGGGUGCGAGCGUUAAUCGGAAUUACUGCGUAAAGCGUGCGCAGGCGGUUUUGUAAGACAGGCGUGAAAUCCCCGGGCUUAACCUGGGAACUGCGUUUGUGACUGCAAGGCUAGAGUACGGCAGAGGGGGGUGGAAUUCCACGUGUAGCAGUGAAAUGCGUAGAGAUGUGGAGGAACACCAAUGGCGAAGGCAGCCCCCUGGGUCGAUACUGACGCUCAUGCACGAAAGCGUGGGUAGCAAACAGGAUUAGAUACCCUGGUAGUCCACGCCCUAAACUAUGUCAACUAGGUGUUGGGUGGGUAAAACCAUUUAGUACCGUAGCUAACGCGUGAAGUUGACCGCCUGGGGAGUACGGCCGCAAGGUUAAAACUCAAAGGAAUUGACGGGGACCCGCACAAGCGGUGGAUGAUGUGGAUUAAUUCGAUGCAACGCGAAAAACCUUACCUACCCUUGACAUGCCAGGAACUUGCCAGAGAUGGCUUGGUGCCCGAAAGGGAGCCUGGACACAGGUGCUGCAUGGCUGUCGUCAGCUCGUGUCGUGAGAUGUUGGGUUAAGUCCCGCAACGAGCGCAACCCUUGUCGUUAAUUGCCAUCAUUUAGUUGGGCACUUUAACGAGACUGCCGGUGACAAACCGGAGGAAGGUGGGGAUGACGUCAAGUCCUCAUGGCCCUUAUGGGUAGGGCUUCACACGUCAUACAAUGGUCGGUACAAAGGGUUGCCAAGCCGCGAGGCGGAGCCAAUCCCAGAAAGCCGAUCGUAGUCCGGAUUGCAGGCUGCAACUCGCCUGCAUGAAGUCGGAAUCGCUAGUAAUCGUGGAUCAGCAUGUCACGGUGAAUACGUUCCCGGGUCUUGUACACACCGCCCGUCACACCAUGGGAGCGGGUUCCGCCAGAAGUAGGUAGCCUAACCGCAAGGGGGGCGCUUACCACGGCGGGGUUCGUGACUGGGGUGAAGUCGUAACAAGGUA
rnacentral:rRNA from 1 species